UGAUGACAGGGGAUCGAAGUCAUCAUGCAUUCAUGCUUGCAUGAUAUGCUUUAUGACAUUGAGACCCGCAAAACAUGAGGAAGUAGCACUUGUGCGAAUUACGAAUGUUUUAGAAUUGCGAGAGUGAUUUAUCACGGAGCAAUUCGUGUCAUCA
rnacentral:sRNA from 2 species